UAUUUUUGUUCAUGUCAAUUACUCUUAAAGCUGAGGGUAUUUUUGUCAGUAUUAAUUUUCUUAAAAUAGAUCAAAUUUACAUUCGUCAUACCACAAAUCAGAUCUAAACCAAUAAACCUCUCAUUUUCUUCUUCAUCAAGAUAAAACCAUAAACAUAAAAUGCUUCAAACUUUUUUAGCCACCAUCUCGCUCCCGCUGCUUCCGUCGUCAUUCGACCACCGUUACCAUCAGAUUGCUUCGUCUUCCUCUCAUCUAAUAAUUUCUGCCACCAUCGUCUUCUACAUUAACUAUUAGAGAUUGGUACACCGUCGUUUACAUCAGAUCUCUUCGUCUUCCUCUUCAUCGGUGACUUAUGUGUCGGUUAAUCGAGAUCAAGAUCCCUACGAGUUUUCCGAUAACAUUUUCAUUUAAACCAUCAACAAAUACAACAGAAUGAAAAUCAGAUAUGAGUAUGUGUAUACAGUGCUUUUCCGGUGACGUAUUUUGACGUUGUGUUCCGACGACAAUUUAAACUUACUGGGGAGUUCAAGACUACCUGGUGUGCUGUUUGGUCAUGAUUUCCGACAGAAGAAAGUGUUCUCUCGAAGGAUCGACAUGAAAUUUUUGAGAUCUAUUAUGGCGAAUAUUCAAGAGAUUAGAUAUAGAAAUUGAGAUUUGGAAGAAGCUCUCUUAGAUAUAGAAAUUGAGAUUUGGAAGAAGCUCUCUUAGAUAUAGAAAUUGAGAUUUGGAAGAAGCUCUCUUAGAUAUAGAAAUUGAGAUUUGGAAGAAGCUCUCUUAGAUAUAGAAAUUGAGAGCUUGAAGUUUACUUUUCGAUUGGAAAUGCUCGAUCAGUGUGCACAUGAUUAUUUUUUUCUUUUGAUUGGAUCGUGUAAUGACCCCAAAACACGAUAAAAUUAUUUCAUUUUGAAAAAGUACUACAGGAAUAAAAAUUGUUCCAAAACCAUCAUAAUGUAUAAAAAUCACAUCAUUAGAGUACAAUAUCAAAAUGCAGAAAUAAGGGAAGUGAAUGAUGUGCCAUUGCGCCGGGCCAUUCCUCUUAGUAUCGAAAGUACCGGAAACCAUAAACACAAUCUGUAAGAAAACACUUAGUAAGUUUUCCAAAAAGUACCACAUGUCAACAUACAAAUUAAUGUUAUAGGUCAAAUCAUAGUCUUACAUAUGAUUCUUGUCGCAG
rnacentral:lncRNA from 1 species